AUACGGAAGGUCCGGGCGUUAUCCGGAUUUAUUGGGUUUAAAGGGAGCGCAGGCGGAGAUGCAAGCGUGACGUCAAAUUUCGGGGCUCAACCCCGUCUCGCGUCGCGAACUGCGUCCCUUGGUUGCGGGAAGGGGAGGCGGAACUCGUGGUGUAGCGGUGAAAGGCAUAGAUAUCACGAAGAACUCCGAUCGCGAAGGCAGCCUUCCGGCCCGUCAACGACGCUCAUGCUCGAAGGUGCGGGUAUCAAACAGGAUUAGAUACCCUGGUAGUCCGCACAGUAAACGAUGGACACCCGCGGUUUGGCCUAUAUGGCUGAGCCGCCAAGCGGAAGCGUUAAGUGUCCCACCUGGGGAGUACGCCGGCAACGGUGAAACUCAAAUGAAUUGGCGGGG
rnacentral:rRNA from 1 species